GCCAGCAUGGUUUACUGGUUUGAGCACUGGCCUAUGAACCCUAGAGACCAAGGUUCAAAUCCUGGGUCUGUUA